UACGUAGGGUGCAGGCGUUAAUCGGAAUUAUUGGGCGUAAAGGGCUCGUAGGCGGUCCAUCGCGUCGGGAGUGAAAAGCUGGGGCUUAACCCCAGUCCUGCUUUCGAUACGGGUGGACUAGAGGUAGGCAGGGGAGAACGGAAUUCCUGGUGUAGCGGUGAAAUGCGCAGAUAUUAGGAAGAACACCAGUGGCGAAGGCGGCUCACUGGUCCGGUACUGACGCUGAGGUGCGAAAGCGUGGGGAGCAAACAGG
rnacentral:rRNA from 1 species